ACCCACAACGAAGAAUACACAACUAUGUACCGGGGGGCUUUGGGGAGAAAAAGGAAAAAAAAAAAAAAAAUUCUGUGAUGUUUGUAAAUCACCUUUAUUCUACCACCUUAGUGAAGUCACAAGUCUUUAUCCAUGUCAUGCCUAAGGUUUUACCUGAAUCUGAUACAGGACAUUUAAGGCAGGGUCUUUUUACUGUUGACUCCAGGCUUUUCAAGCAUAUAGAGGGCUGUUUUUGCUCUAUGGCCUCUGGAUUUCUAAGAACUGCUAUAUGGUCAUUCACAAUACAUACAUGUAAUGUUCAGGAAGGCAAAAGGAAAGCCCAGCUUGUAAACAGCAGCACAGGCAGUGCUUAGUCUCCAUUGUUAGAGACAUUAUCUAAGGGUAGUAAUUCGCUAACCACUAUCUUUCUAAUUAAGCAGGAUUGACCAAGUGAACACUAAUCCCAGUGAAGUUUGGAUAUCUUGGGGCAGAGGUUUACUGCCACCUAGUGGAAUAAGAUCUAAUUGUUUUUUUAAAUCAAGUUCACAAGUAAUGGGAAGUUGAUUGGACAUAUGGCUUAUUUCUAUGUAGCUCAGGUUGUAAUCUUGAAAGCUGGAUACAGACUCCUGCCUCUUGGAGUCAUUGGCUUGUUGUCACACUACCACCUGCACAUUCUGACUCCUCACACCUUUCAUGCCUUUUAACCUCUUGGAGAAACUGACCUGGGAAUGUGGAGGUGAGAAAAAAGAAAGAGGAAAGAGGGUAAGGUGGCCAGAUAAUGCAGCAAGAGCAAGCGUUGACUUAGUAAGCAUCUAGAUCACCACCUCCAAACCUGAUCCUGUUUCCUUAUGAAAAUGUUUUCAAGCAUGUAUCCAUAAUUGUAUAAUAAAUUGUAUGAAUGUGCUGCUAUGUUAAUGUGAACAUUAUGAAACAAAAUUUUGAAGAGUGGAAAAAAAGUUUGGCACUCUUCUCAAGCCCCAGUAAAUUGUCCGGCACACUUCGGAAGCCAUUGAUCUAAGUUUAUAGAUCAUUAAUAUUCAAUUAUUGCUGAAUCCCCAACAAAAUCUUAGUGAAAACUGUUGUGGUAUCCUACUUGAUGUGAGAGGAAAAAUUAUUGUCCGCCACUCCAGUAAACUGAAAUCCUUUCUAAUAAAAAGCUUGCCAAUGUAAACACAAGUUCAUGUACUUCAUUCAGGAUAUUUUCCCUGCCCCUUUAGUCAUAAUAAUGACUAUUAUAUAUUGAACAUUUGCUCUGUUCCAGACAGUAAACUACAUAGUUUAUGUACAGUAUCUUCAUAUAAUCCUUUAUAGAUGCCAGUGUCAUCCUUUUGAAGAUUUGGAAACAGAUUUGGAGAUGUUAGUGAGUUAUCCAAUAGAUGGGUAGCAACUGGCAGAGCUGCAGUUUGAACCAGUCUUGGUGACACCAGGGACUGUGUACUUCACUUUUGUGCUAUACGACUACCUGGUGUCUGCUAGCAAACACUGAACACGCUCAUCAUCUAGGUUCAAAUCCCAGCUCUGUGUGAACUAGGCAUGUUACUUUUCCUUACUGGACAUUUGUUUCUUCAGCUAUAAAACAGGGCCCACGUCUUCCUUGCUGGUUUGGAGUGAAGAUUACAUUCUGACUGCACAUGUGAAGGUGUCUGGACUUCAAGAGAUUAUCUUUGAAUGUUGAUGGAAGAGGUGAUGCCAGGGCCACGACACACCGGAAGUCUGUUUUUCCCCAGUUUUAGGUGAUGAUUCAUUUUCAGGAAGUUUGCAUCGUGCCAUAAUAGGUCUCUAGACCUGCUUUUUUGUACAAAGAGGCAGCCUUUUGGAGUUAGAAAUGAAGUAUGUUUCAACAAUAGGGCGCACCAGGGAAGCAAGGUAAUUUUGGUGAAGAAUGGGUUUUUCAUGGUGCUAGUAGUAGGAGUUAUAAAAUGUCCUUCUUUGCAAGUAAUACUGAGAUGGUUUAUCGGAGUAUCUCAUCUGACAAAAACAUUGCUACUUUUCAAGCAAACUUGGUUCCCAUGAUUUAGCAUUAAUCCACACAAUGUUCAAAGUUUAGUGUCUGCCGUUUUCAGCAGAAAAUAACGGGCUGACAAUUUCCUGUGUUCUUUAGCAGCUUUUCAGAGCUUCACAGGAAGAAUGAAGACUAUUCUUGGCCUGAACAUAUGCCCCAUGGGGUGCUGGGCCCAGCCAAACAGCCUUGUAUUAGCAAAGGAGGGUCAAGUGAAAGGAGACCUUGUUCUCUGCCAGGCUCUCAAAGGGUAGUCUGAAACCCCAUUGGCCACACACAACCACUGUUUUAGAUGCAGUGUUUGUGGACUUGCCAAAAUAUAAUGCCACUCCUUUCUGUAGUCCUUUGGGAUGGGGAGAGGGAGGAGUUGACACCUCUGAGAACAGAGAUCUGUGAAGACAUGGCAUAAGAUGGGGGACUAAAAGGAGGGGUUGGUAAGACACUACUAACAAAUGUCCAAUUUUUCUCUCCCUCUUCAAAGUGGGCCCUGCUUAGCUUUCUAGCAUCCAGGUGUGUGGCAAGGAGCCAUGUUUCACCUGGAUAUUUACAAGGAUCCCCGUGGGUGAGGGGCUGACUGUCACCCUAGUGUGGAGUACUGAACUAACUUGGUCCUGCAGGGGCUUACAGCUUUUUUUUUUUUUUCAUUUAAUUCCAUUGUCUUUGAAUUUCACUGGUCUCUUUCAUAUUUAAAUAUAUGCCUCACUCAACUGCAGACACAGAAAAGUUGUCUUUGUCUUGGAUAAGCCAGUAAUUUAAGCAACUUGGCAAAUGGUAGGUGAAGGGAUGGGUACCUUCACACGCACCCUGGUGCUCCCCUUGCUUUUAAGAAGUCAAGAAAUACAUAUUUUGUCUGGUUGGGAGUGGGAGAGCUGUCAGUUUUUUCCCUAGGGAUAAAUCUUAUAUGUGAUUGUACAGAUUUGAGUCUUAGUAUUGUUUACUUUUCAAAAAAAAAAAACCUUUCAGUAACACAGUUCUUUCAUUGAGAACCUAAAAUAAAAUCCCUCAACGUUCGGGUUGCUGCGUAGAGGUGCCAGGAUCUCAAGUUGGCAUUUUCUCUCCCAAACCCCCACUUCAGUAGUGCCUAAUUAGAUCCCAUUCCUUACAGUCAGUGCUUGGAAGAUGGAGUGAGAGGCCACUGAGGCAAGCUCACCUUCCGUGAUCUCUCUCUUCAGGUGGGAUUGGCCCAGUUAUGCGCAUGUCCUGAAGAGGAGAUGGGCUUUCUCUCCAACUUGUGAGAACUGAUGGACUCAUCCUACCAGAUGUGAACGUUCAGAUGAUAUUCAAACUGGGAAGAAAACCUGUUUUAUCAAGGGAGAAGAAAUUCACUUGGAAAUAUGAAAGAAGGGAACAAAAUCACAUAAAAGUGCAGCAACAAGCAUCUGGCUGAGUACCUGUUAAUGUGCCACAUAGGCCUGACCCGCAGCCUCAAUUAAGAGAGCAGAUCUCCCUCCUUGUUUGAAAAAGUCUGAAAAAUCUUAAGAAAGAACUGCAACAGGCCCAGUAUGGUGGAUGGCACGGCUGUGGUCUGAGAGGACCACUGUGAGCUGGACAGCACUCCUGCUCCCCUGCGAACUUGUCUCCUGGUAGGGAUUAUGGGUAAAUCAGACGCCAAUUCUGCAACCAACCUGGGCCUUUGAAUCAGCUCAACUCACCCACACGCCACACUCCAGCUCUGGGUGUAACAGAUAGGCCAUCCUGCACCUUUACCUGUGUUGGCUUUUGUGGAGCUCCGCCGGCCUACGCCUUCUCCCUGAUGCCCAGGCAGCUCCUGAACCUUGACCCUCAUGAGCCUGCACCUCUCUCCCUCCUUUCUUGCUGCCCACCCUGGAUGUAGGUUUACACUUACCCCUACUCCAUGGGUCAUAGAUGCACCCAAAGCCCACAUCCCAACACCCCCUCCCCAGGGCUGGCUUCCUGGUGGUGCCCCCAAUGGAUUGUCAAAUGCCCCCUCCCCAUUUAUAGAUUUUUAAUGAACUUUUUUCUUCUGAUUUUCAAUUUUAGCAAAAAGUACUUUUUUCUGGACUGUUUUUGAGCCAUAUGCCUUAUAUUAAAUGGGUAUGUAUAUUAGUCAUGUAUUUCUUAGAAACAAGGAAAUUCUCAUAUAAUAGUACAAGCAAAACGAUGAAAUUUAAUGAGGUUUUAAUAAAACUUUAAAACAUUUA